UUUGCAUUGCUGAGGAAAACAAAAGCUGGAAAACAGUCAAAGUCUGGUUUUCUUCACCCCCCUGACCACAUCCGUUACACUCGCUCCUCAGAUCUCCCUCUUCUCUCCUCCUUUCAGUUACAAGAGCUUUGGGACGAUCCUUAACACGGCAGGUCUGGAAUUUGGCUACUUCCGGUUCUGCUGAGGAUCGAGGAGAUAGCAUAGAGGAGGAGCCUGAUCCAAUCAAAACCAGAGUCAGACUCAGCAUCCAACUGUGAGAGGAAACUUCAGGAACAUGGAGCCAACAGCAGGAAGGAGACGGAGACUGAGUAAAGAGCUUCCUCCUGAACUGUCUGACUUACUUGACACACUCACUGAUCAUGCAACAUCGUACAUUAAAGCGUUUAACAGCAAAGAAAAAGGGAUGAGACAGAUUGUAGAAGAGUUAAAUGUAAUCGCUGCUGAAGUUAAAGAGAUGCAGAAAAACAGAAAUACAGCUAGAAUGACAGGAGUUGCUUUAGCAGGAGUCGGGCUUGCAGCUCUAUUCACCGGGGGGUUGGCCUUAUUACCAGCAGUAGCAGCAGCAGCAGGAGGAGGUGCUGUUGUUGCUACAAAUGUGUCAAAAACCAUAAUAGAGAAUGGAAGUGCAAAAAAAGCUGAAACGUUGGGGAAAGAAUUCAUGGAGAUUAUUGAGCCACUGAAGGAACGACUGCAGAAAAUGCAAACUUUGUUCCAAGAGUUGGAGGAAAGAUCAGCUGCAGUUCAGACUGAGGCAAGCAAGUUUGAGAGGAUUCUUAAAGAAAUGUUUGAACUGAGAAAACUGACUGAAACCACUUUGUCUGGAGUUACAGUUCUGAGCGAUGUGAUUGGUAAUCUGCUGAUGCUCAUUGUGAUGAUCUUCAGAGUUACUGCGACACCUGAAGAAGAUAAAAAACUGACAGACUCUAUCAUCCAAUCAGCUGAUCAGAGUCAGAGGGUCAUUGAUGCUUUUCAAAGGAUGAGUCAGGAACUGGAAAAACAGAUCAAUAAAGAGAAGAUGAAGCAAGCUGAGAAGAGUUCAAAUUCAGAUUAAAAGUUAAAUCAAACAAAUGAUGUCACAGCGUCUCCGUUGUGUAAACUAACAAUAAGCAGCUCCUCUGAAAACAAACUUUUCGCACAUGCUCAGUACGCCUACAGACAAGAGCCAUGAGCAGGUGGACUACAACAACAAUGGCCGACUCCUGAUUUCUGUUGGUGGAAACGUUGACUGUCAUGGCUCCCAGUCGGUGUUUCCUCUAAACGUUCUCUGCAGUUCAGGGUCACUCGGAGUAACGACCCCACGUCAUCGUCAGUCCACACAAACCUUUGUGUGUUAGUCGUGUUUGUUUACACCUCAGCGCUCUGCAGGAGGAAGAGGAAGUGACCACGAGCGUGUUCCAAAAUAAAAGCAGGGUUAAAUCCAAGCAGCAAGUAAAG